CUGCAGCCAAUGAAACUGUCUCCCUCUCUCUGUGGGGACUUGGUGCAUAGUGGCUGCAAGCAGCAGCCCCUUGGUAGUGUAUGCAGCCUGUUGCAUGUAAGGGUUGUCCUGAAAGACAUUGUGAAUAGCC